rnacentral:rRNA from 1 species
UACGUAGGGGGCAAGCGUUGUCCGGAUUUAUUGGGCGUAAAGAGCGUGUAGGCGGCUUUGCAAGUCCGUUGUGAAAACUCGAGGCUCAACCUCGAGACGCCGGUGGAAACUGCAAAGCUAGAGUCCGGAAGAGGAGAGUGGAAUUCCUGGUGUAGCGGUGAAAUGCGCAGAUAUCAGGAAGAACACCCGUGGCGAAGGCGGCUCUCUGGGCCUGACCUGACGCUGAGGAGCGAAAGCGUGGGGAGCGAACAGG